rnacentral:rRNA from 1 species
UACGUAGGGUGCAGGCGUUAAUCGGAAUUACUGGGCGUAAAGCGUGCGCAGGCGGUUUGCUAAGAGAGAUGUGAAAUCCCCGGGCUUAACCUGGGAACUGCGUUUCUAACUGGCAGGCUUGAGUGUGGCAGAGGGGGGUGGAAUUCCACGUGUAGCAGUGAAAUGCGUAGAGAUGUGGAGGAACACCGAUGGCGAAGGCAGCCCCCUGGGCUAACACUGACGCUCAUACACGAAAGCGUGGGGAGCAAACAGG